rnacentral:antisense_RNA from 1 species
CUUCAACGACCCCAACCACAACGGCCGACCUUCGCCCGCCCGUUCGCGCCCAUACGUCGCCAGCAACGCCUGCGCCUC